GACGAACGCUGGCGGCGUGCUUAACACAUGCAAGUCAGGGGCCGCAAGGGUCACCGGCGAACGGGUGCGUAACACGUGAACAACCUGCCCGAGCGAGGGGGAGUAGCCGGCCCAACGGCCGGGUAAUACCGCAUAUGCUCACAGUGCCUUAUGGCGCAGUGAGGAAACCUUCGGGGCGCUCGGAGGGGUUCGCGACCUAUCAGCUAGUUGGUGGGGUAAUGGCCUACCAAGGCAACGACGGGAGCUGGUCUGAGAGGAUGGCCAGCCACAUUGGGACUGCGACACGGCCCAGACUCCUACGGGAGGCAGCAGUGGGGAAUAUUGCGCAAUGGUCGAAAGACUGACGCAGCGACGCCGCGUGGAGGAUGACGGUCUUCGGAUUGUAAACCCCUUUCGGG
rnacentral:rRNA from 1 species